UACGGGGGGGUGCGAGCGUUGUCCGGAAUCACUGGGCGUAAAGGGCGCGUAGGUGGUUUGAUAAGGGUGUGGUGAAAGCCCGGAGCUCAACUCCGGGUCUGCCGUGCCGACUGUCAAACUCGAGGGCUGUAGAGGCAGACGGAAUUCCGGGUGUAGCGGUGGAAUGCGUAGAGAUCCGGAGGAAGACCGGUGGCGAAGGCGGUCUGCUGGGCAGUUUCUGACACUGAUGCGCGAAAGCCAGGGGAGCGAACGGG
rnacentral:rRNA from 1 species